rnacentral:rRNA from 1 species
AUUGCACGCUGGCGGCAGGCCUAACACAUGCAAGUCGAGCGAGCGGCGGACGGGUGAGUAAUGUAUGGGGACUGCCCGAUAGAGGGGGAUAACUACUGGAAACGGUAGCUAAUACCGCAUACUAUCGGAUAACCCAUAUGGGAGUAGCUAGUAGGUGAGGUAAUGGCUCACCUAGGAGACGAUCCCUGGCUGGUCUGAGAGGAUGAUCAGCCACACCGUGACUGGGACACGGCCCAGACUCCUACGGAGUCAGCGGUGGGGAAUAUUGCACAAUGGGCGCAAGCCUGAUGCAGCCAUGCCGCGUGUAUGAAGAAGGCUCUAGGGUUGUAAAGUACUUUCAUUCGGGAGGCGUUACCGACAGAGGAAGCACCGGCUGACUCCGUGCCAGCGGCCGCGGUAAUUC